rfam:Solanum lycopersicum cultivar Heinz 1706 chromosome 10, whole genome shotgun sequence.
AGGCAGAUGAUGAUUUAUUAUUAUUUCGGCUGAUUAAACUUUGAUGAUCCAAAAUUCGAGCUUUUUAAAACUGAUGCCUU